rnacentral:sRNA from 1 species
AGUACAUUUCAAGUUGGCCGCGGCUUGGGCUCCGCUCUGGGGAGGGGCAGCAGGUUUAUUCACUGGAUCUCUGAAUACCCAGGCCCCCUCCACCAUGGCCAGCCGGGGUGGGGGCCGGGGUCGUGGCCGGGGCCAGUUGACCUUCAACGUGGAGGCCGUGGGCAUUGGGAAAGGGGAUGCUUUGCCCCCACCCACCCUGCAGCCUUCUCCACUCUUCCCUAUUGGCGGCGUCUACCCCGGGAGCUAAAGAUCCGAGUGCGGAAGCUACAGAAGGAACGGAUUACAAUUCUGCUCCCCAAGAGGCCCCCUAAGACCACAGAAGAUAAGGAGGAAACAAUACAGAAACUAGAGGUGAGGAGGAAGUGUGCAUAGAGACCACCUGAGCCCUGGAUCCAUUCCCUCUCUCUUGGCCCAUGUGUGCCUCAAUUUUUCCCUUCUGUGAACUGAACCUGAGUUUCUAUUCCUAUUCAUCCCCACAUGAGACCCUGGAGAAGAAGGAAGAAGAAGUAACUUCAGAGGAGGAUGAGGAGAAAGAAGAAGAAGAAGAGAAGGAAGAGGAGGAAGAAGAAGAGUAUGAUGAAGAAGAACACGAAGAGGAAACUGAUUACAUCAUGUCAUAUUUUGACAAUGGAGAGGACUUUGGUGGUGACAGUGAUGACAAUAUGGACGAGGCUAUAUACUGAAGAAGGACUCUGGACCCUCGUGUCUUUCUUUAGGAUACAGAGAGUAACUGUACCUAUUAUUUGUUUCUUCAG